ACGAACGCUGGCGGCGUGCUUAACACAUGCAAGUCUACGAGAAAGAGGUAGCAAUAUCUUGAUUAAAGUGGCGCACGGGUGAGUAACACGUAAGCAAUCUACCCUUAGAUCCGGAAUAACUUCGAGAAAUCGUGGCUAAUACCGGGUAAUGCAGCGGCACCGCAUGGUGAUGUUGUUAAAGUUUCGAUGUCUAGGGAUGAGCUUGCGUCUGAUUAGCUAGUUGGUGAGGUAACGGCUCACCAAGGCUGCGAUCAGUAGCUGGUCUGAGAGGAUGAUCAGCCACACUGGAACUGAGACACGGUCCAGACUCCUACGGGAGGCAGCAGUGAGGAAUAUUGGGCAAUGCCCGUAAGGGUGACCCAGCAACGCCGCGUGGAGGAUGAAGGCCGUAAGGUUGUAAACUCCUGUUAGAGGAGAAGAAUAGUACCGGUUGGACCGGUAUAUGACUGUACCCUCAGAGAAAGCCCCGGCUAACUACGU
rnacentral:rRNA from 1 species